ACAUACGUGUUUUUAUCAGGACAGUGAUGACAUGCCAAGAACACGUACAGCCAAUGUGAUGGGAAAAGAAAAAGGUUUACAAUAAAAAUGACGGAUUUUUCUCUUUGUAAUGGGAUGUGAGCAAAUGUUUGCCCAAAGGCACUUUUCAAGUGAUAUUGACCCAUAGCCAUCCAACACCUCCGUUUGCUAUUC